rnacentral:rRNA from 1 species
GAUGAACGCUGGCGGCGUGCCUAAUACAUGCAAGUCGAGCGAACAGACGAGGAGCUUGCUCCUUUGACGUUAGCGGCGGACGGGUGAGUAACACGUAGGUAACCUACCUAUAAGACUGGGAUAACUUCGGGAAACCGGAGCUAAUACCGGAUAAUAUUUCGAACCGCAUGGUUCGAUAGUGAAAUAUGGCUUUGCUAUCACUUAUAGAUGGACCUGCGCCGUAUUAGCUAGUUGGGAAGUUAACGGCUUACCAAGGCAACGAUACGUAGCCGACCUGAAAGAGUGAUAGGCCACACUGGAACUGAGACACGGUCCAGACUCCUGAGGGAGGCAGCAGUAGGGAAUCUUCCGCAAUGGGCGAAAGCCUGACGGAGCAACGCCGAGUGGGAGAUAAAGAUCUUCGGUUCGUGAAACUCUGUUAUUAGGGAAGAACAAACGUGUAAGUAACUGUACACGUAUUGACGGUACCUAAUCAGAAAGCAACGGCUAACUACGUG